UACGUAGGGUGCAAGCGUUGUCCGGAAUUAUUGGGCGUAAAGAGCUCGUAGGCGGUUUGUUGCGUCGGAUGUGAAAGCCCGGGGCUUAACCCCGGGUCUGCAUUCGAUACGGGCAGACUGGAGUGUGGUAGGGGAGAUCGGAAUUCCUGGUGUAGCGGUGAAAUGCGCAGAUAUCAGGAGGAACACCGGUGGCGAAGGCGGAUCUCUGGGCCAUGACUGACGCUGAGGAGCGAAAGCGUGGGGAGCGAACAGG
rnacentral:rRNA from 1 species